UUGGAAUCAAGUAGUACUGAAUCGUCUCAUUCAUAUUCAGUUUUUGAACUUGAUGCUGGUUGCUCAUUUUGACUAAGUACGUAAACUUUUCUUGAAAUUGAUGGUUAUAGAAGCAUAAGCCCAUAGAAGCACCAGCAUUUAAAAUACCAAAUCUACUGUAUAACCAGAAGGGUAAUAUCUAAGGAGAAUAUUACUGUACUCACAAUGACUUCUUUCUCCCAACAUGUUCACAGAGGUUAAAAUUUGGUAAACCAAUACCAGUGGUGGACAUGAGACAUCCAAAAGAAUAACUGUUAAGAGGAGGAUGUGGGAAGAGCCAAACAUUGUUAAUUUUGUCAGGCAACCACCUUUCCUGCUUGUAUCUAUUAAAAAAUUGUAACUUUGAAUAACAAUUCACUUCUCUCUAGGACUUGCUAGCUUCAGCUGCAAGAUGAGAGUAUGGACUGCAGGGUCCUUGAGGUUCCUUUCAAGGCAAGUCCUAGGAUAUUCCUAGGACUAACUCAGCACAUUUUAUCACCCCUCAUUUCUCCUCCCAUAAUCACUGACAGCUUCAGUUGCUUCGCUGCCAUAGAAACUAAAUUUAGAGAACAUGGUUAUUUUUCUUCCUCUAAAGAUCACUCUGAUAAAGAGCACAAUUCCGGGGUCUAUUGCUCUCAUCAACGCCCAAACAACUUUUUAAAAAGGCUUCACAAUGCUAUAGGCUGAGUGCUGGUAUAAAUCAAUUUCUUCCCUACCACGGUAUUGAUACACAUCAUAGUUACUUGUAAACGGAAAUUCUAACUAGUGAUAAAAAAUAAAACAGUAUUAUUUUUUUCCUCUAAGAAAAUUUUACUACUUUUUCUAGUUGAAACAGUUUGAUUUCAGAGCGCGGUUUAUAGAUAAUACCGAAGUGCAGGUUCUGCACAGAGAAAGUGGUUUGCUUGUUGUCAUCUUCAUAUGGAGGGAUUUCCAAGGCCAACUGGCACGUAUUUUCAAAGUAACCUCAAGAACUCAGUUAAGCCCAUUUCAGUUUUUUAAUAAUAAAAAUAAAUGCACUUCUUCGUCCGUGCCACCAUCAUCAUUGGUAUCAUCCGUUAUUAAAAUAAGGAGUAUAAUAUUGGGCUAAUAGCGGAUCACGGCAUCUGGCUCGUGUGAAAAUUAACAGCCCCGCUGAAAGUUUCAUGAGGAUGAUCUGGUAGCUUUAAAAAUUACUUUUUUUUUUAGUGGAUAUGAGGUGAGAGCUAAGGAAAGUAUGUAGUCAAAAAAAAAAAAAGAAGAAAGAAACCAAAGUUCUAUUUUUGGCUUUUCUGCCACUGACUCACAGUAUUAACUUGAACCAGUGGCCAACUUUCGUCUACUAACUAAGCCUAUCCACACAAGAGGCUUAGUUAACAGAUGAAAUGAGAAAUGCUUCAGCUUCCCUCUUUGAAUGCUGGAGAACUGCUGAGAUCACUUAUAUAAAUAUUUUUCUUUGAGCUCCCUAGAAGACAGGAACUUUAUAAAUAUUUAGUUUUAUUGUUGCACCUUAGGUACAAGUAGACCGGAAAUUAUACUCCCAUACUUAAGUAAGAAAUAACCUAUUUCAGAUAAUCCUGGUUCAUACCAAGGACUUUGCAUUGGCUUGUUAGGGUCUCUUGAGCUUUCUUUUUUUCCAUCCUCCUCCGCCCUUGCAGUUGACAAACGUGGAAAUAUAAAUAAACCUUCCACAGCAGCGAGGGUUCCAAGGUAAGGAAGCCCAGCAUGGAUGCAGACACGCUGGCUGAUGGCAAGCUGUGUAUCAGAAUGGGCUCUUCCUUCAAGGUUUUAAUGGCACUAGGUUCUGGAAUGAUGUUCUCGGAAUUCAUACAAGUGUUAUUUUUGGAUGGUGGAAUUUCAGAUUUAAGACAAGCAGUUGUACAGUAAUUAAUUUCCCAGCUGGGAAACUGCGACUUGAUGCAACUGAGCGGGGAGAUGGUAUUGAUCUAGGGAACUCAGGCAGCUUAUAAAGCACACUUAGAUAAAAUUGUCUCUUUUGUCUUCAUUUACUGGGGUGAUUCAAGCCAAGGCAGAAUGGGUCUCUUGAGGAUGAAUUAUGCUAAUGAUGUUCUGUUUGUUGACCUAAUCUCAAUACGAUUAUAUUAGUUUUAAUAGUUCUUAAGCACUCAGGGUGUUUUGGAUGCAAUGCCAGUUACAGACAAGCAAAGGGCAAUAACUUCACCCUCAACAUGCUGACUUUAUGAAAGAAUAA